rnacentral:lncRNA from 1 species
AAUCGCCCAUUUUGAUUUUCAGGUCGAGUUUCCGGAGAAAAAGUUUGGGUAGGUAUUUGCAAUUUUGUUAAAGAAUGGUCGUCACUGACAGCAAAGCAGAAAAAAGGUUUCCGCAGACUUUACCAACAAGCAUGCCAUUGUAAAAUAACGAAGAAUUAUAUACACAACAAUAACACCACAGUCAGGCCACAGUGUUAUUGGGAAACUUGGAAAAGCGUAAAAUAUGACUGUCAAAAUUUAUAUUCUAUCUGCGCACCUUCCUCUCAUCACAUGAAAGAAUGUGUUUGGUUGAAAAGCAGAGCCUAUCGUCACUGUAUGAAAGAAAAAAGAGAUUUUCUCUACAGAGAACCUUAAAUUUAUCUUAACAGAUUCAUCGUCGAUACUCUUUCGGAGGUAUCAUAAUGAGCUUUGCCACUAGGUGGCAGAAUUAUGCUCGAGUCUCAGUAGUAGGACGAAACUCUCUCUCUCGAAGUUUAUCAUUUAAAAUAUUUUAAGAGUACAAUUUUAUGACAUCGUAGAUUAGGAGAGUGAAAACACGAUUUUUAAAUGUAGAUCGGCCAAAAAAAAAUAUAAAUUUAUCCAUCAGAAUUUACAUUAAAAUAUAUAUUAUGUUUUUCAAAUUUCUGCUGAUAAAGUAGGCAUUAUGUAUUUUAUGACACGUUCUGAUAAAUUAUGUCUGCGGUGAUUAAUUGCCAAUAUUUUUAAAUGUCAAUUUUGAUAUAAAUGCACCCUGGUUCAUCGCGUUCUUUUGUAAAUUAGAAAUAUGUUUAAAUGUAUGUAUUCAUUGUAGUAUUUAAAUUGUGUUUGUGAAGAACCUGUAUACUGGUCUCCAACGCGUAUAGUUUUGUAAUUAGGUCUACACUAGUAUUCAAGUGUAGUUGAUGGACCAAUAAAAACGUACAAAUGUAAUUUA